AGUUAAGUGAAGAAGGAGGACAGAAAAAGAAAUUCUGCGUUCAGUAUGAUUGUGCUUAUAGGGAGAAUGUCAUAGGCACAUAGACUUAAAGAUUCCCACAUUGUUAGAGAGAGCAGAGCAGGCCUGGGGGUGUUGGUCUGGGUCCAGGGACGUGAACUUCGCCACCCAGCUCAUACCUCCUCGACGGUUAGAGAAUUGGCAGAAGAAACCCAGAGCCGUCCCCGGCGUCCCUGGGGGGACCGGAUUGGGCUCCCCAACUUCUGAAUUGAUAAAGACGAUCCCAGAACUGUAGGAUCGUGGACCCUCGGAGACAGGCAAGACAUUUAUCUGUCCCUCUCUUCAUCCACUGCUGUCUGCAGAACGCUUGUCGGGCAGGAAUCCAUGUUGCCUGUUUGAUUGCUUCUGGGGAUGGAGCGCUCACUUCCACUCCGCGUGGAAGUUCAUCCGUCAUCGGAUAAGCAGAUAACGCCUCGACAGACAGACGCGUCUCCAACCCUGUGACAACUGACACCCCCCGUGGUUACGGAGGAAAGUCACUCUUUACCUGUGAGUUUCCGGGCAGUAAGGUAGCGCGUUAGUCUCUUACUCCAAGAAGAUAAAACCCAGGGUCUGAAGACCAGGCUGGUGGCCAAGCUUUCGGGUUAACUUCCUGUGUGGACUUCGGCGAGAUGCUCCUCUUCUGAUCCUUGCUUUGCACAUCUGUAAAAGAGAGCUACAACUUGUGUGCCACAGACCCAGCCGAUAUGUGGUGGGGCUACGGGAGGAAUCGCUCUAAAGCCAUUUCUCGUAGGUAGAUUUUCAGUUUUCUGAGCUUCCCUUACCCACGCCACGCCAGGCGCUCAGUUUUCUCAUCUGUAGAAUGUUGCCAGUUGGACAAAACGCGUUGCCUCCCUCUGGCUCUCAAAUUCUGAGCCUCUGGUUUCCAUGCCUAUGAAAACGGAUGCGGGACCCUCGCCUCGCCCAGCCCCACCCCUCCGCCUACCCCCGCAGAGAUUCCUGUCCUUGUGCAGCCACCUCCCCUGCCCCCCUCUGUCCCCAUCAGGCCAGUGACUCGCUCACCCCCCAGGGCUCCCAGAGAUGACUCCCAGCAGUAGGCUUUCUCCUCCCGGCUCUUAAGGUGGCCACACACUGGGCUAAAAAAGCUGCUUACCAGCACGGGAAAGGAUGACAUUUAGAGUAUCACAUCUUUUUUUUUUUUUUUUUAAGACUUGCUUUAAAGGGAAGCUGAUAUGGGAAUGUGUUCAGAAGAUGUCCCUCCGAUUUGGUGCUUGGGGCUCCGUGAAGGUGGGGGCGCAGGAAGAGAAGUUCUUCUGUGUUCCCUCGGGUGCUUCCUAAGGGGCUGAAAGAUCAGUGCUGUCGUUCUCGCUUCCCGAGCCCCUUGGAAGUUAUUUGGUUCCACCGGGAGCUGGCCACAUCCACGGUGGCAAGGCUCUACAGCACCGGACGUGAAGUUAAGUUUGAUUGGCUGUGUGACCUUGGGGGAAUCAUCUCACUUCUCAGAGCUUUGGUUUCCUCCUCUGUAGGGUAUUCGCAUAAUACCUGCGCUCACUCAGCCACUCGGUAACAACGGCCAGAGCCAGUGUCUCUGAAUGCGUCCUAUAUACUAGGCACUGUCUAAGAAGAUUGCCAUGCACCCUUCUCACUUAAUCCUCAUAAUAGUCCAUGCAUUGAAAUGCUGUCCUUCUUGCUAUUUUGCAGACGAGACAAAUACAGCUCAGAGGAGUGAAAUAACUUGCCGGGUCUGGAGGAUGACACCCCCUAGAAUUCAAACCCAGUCCUAUGUGACUCCAAAGUCUGUGCCCUUAGCCUUCUGCUAUGCAGCUGGGCUGGACUAUGUAGAUGGCGCUCCGGUUACCUACCUGUCGAUAGGUACCACGCCACCCCAAAACUUAGUAACGUAGAACAACCGCCGUAGUAUUAUGCUUGUGGGUUCUGUGGGGAAGGAAGGUUGGGCAGGACACAGUACGGAUGCUUUGUCUCUGCUUUACAAUGUCUGGAGCCUCAGCUGGGAAGUUUCAAGAAGUCUCAAAGCUUGUCUGGCCCCUGGGUUGGGGUGGCUCAAAGACCAGGCUCAUAUCGAAACUGCUAACCAGAAUGCCCACAUUCAACUCUCCAUGCAGACUGGGCACCCUCACAGCGGGGUGACCUCCAGGCAUUUGGAUUGCUUACAUUUUUGGCACAGGGGCUCCAAGAACGAAUGUUCUUGUAAAACAUUGGAAGCCCGGUGGCCCUUCAUGAUCUAGUCUUAAGAAUCACGUGGCAACACUUCUUCCUAUGAUGGGGUCAAAGCAGUCAUAAGCUACUCAGAUUCAGCAGGUGGGCACAUAGGUCCACCUCUCAGUGGACUGAGCUGUGAAGAUUUCUGCAGCCAUGCUCUAAAACCACCAUUAUGGGAUCAGCCGUGAUCUCUGCUGGGGCAUCCGGUUAGACUGAUA